AAUAGAUACCCCGGUAGUCCACGCCGUAAACGAUGGAUACUAGGUGUGGGGGUUUCAACACCUCCGUGCCGCCGUUAACACAAUAAGUAUCCCGCCUGGGGAGUACGGUCGCAAGAUUAAAACUCAAAGGAAUUGACGGGGGCCCGCACAAGCAGCGGAGCAUGUGGUUUAAUUCGAAGCAACGCGAAGAACCUUACCUAGACUUGACAUCUCCUGAAUUACCCUUAAUCGGGGAAGUCGGUACCUUUGGUAUCGACAGGAAGACAGGUGGUGCAUGGUUGUCGUCAGCUCGUGUCGUGAGAUGUUGGGUUAAGUCCCGCAACGAGCGCAACCCUUAUUGUUAGUUGCUACCAUUUAGUUGAGCACUCUAGCGAGACUGCCCGGGUUAACCGGGAGGAAGGUGGGGAUGACGUCAAAUCAUCAUGCCCCUUAUGUCUAGGGCUACACACGUGCUACAAUGGCAAGUACAAAGAGACGCAAGACCGUGAGGUGGAGCAAAUCUCAAAAACUUGUCCCAGUUCGGAUUGUAGGCCGAAACUCGCCUACAUGAAGCCGGAGUUG
rnacentral:rRNA from 1 species